CCACUUGCCCUCGAUCCCCAAUCUUCCCCAAUCUCUCUAGUACAGCGUCGUGCAUCUCUCCCCGCUCUUCGAUCUCCUAGUGUCGCCGUUUCGUUUUUCCCCUACCUUCCGGCACCGCCGUUCCCCGCUUUCCCCCUCCCUCACGGCCGGCCGGCCUCCUCCCCUACCCCGCUCCCCAACGGCUGGCGCGCCUCCCCUCCUCCUCGGGCAGCGCGCCUCCUCUCUCGCUGUCGGAUCCAGGCCUGCUCCCACGGCCAAUGCUGCCAACUGCCCCGGUGCGCCGCCGUCGCCAUCUUCCCUAGCGCAUCGCUGCCGCCAUUCCUCGCCGCCAAGAUCCAACCUCGCCGGCCACCGACGCACCCGCAGAUCAGCGGCCACCAUCUCAAGCAGGAUCACACGUGGAUCGGCGGCAACUGUCUCGAGCAGGAUCACACGCGGACCACCCCUAGAGCCAUCCCCUGCCCGUCGACAGGUCGCCGUCCCUGGAUCCACGCCGCUCCUCCACCUCCUCCUCCCGGCGGGGCUUUGCAGCCGAAGCGCCUAAGCAGUUCACCGUUAUCACCUUGGGCCCUUCAACGACACACCACCUGACCACCGGGACGGUCGCCACUGCAGUGCCAAGAUCCGCUUGGAAGACGGAGUAUGAGGCAGAAGAACAGCACCAAUACUAGCUAGUUCUGUACUGCACAACAAGACAGACAGACAUACAGUAACAGUUAAAACAGAGGUGAUGGUUGGUCUUGUACUACAUGCUAGUGAGAUGCGAGCUAAAAUGUCAUCGGUAGCGCCGUCGGAUUCUCCGGCAUGGCCCCGGCGCUCCACGCCUCUGCCCCAACUCCCUGCUCGCAACGGCACGACUCAUCACAUACUACCAAAUUUCAUUGGAGGAGGCCCCCCUGCUGCACCUCUGCCUCCUGGGUCCCGCUGGCGGAACUCCCCUGUUACUCCUCACGGCUGCACUACUCUCUCUCUCACUCUCCCUCUCUCUCUUUCUGAUUAAGGCAAUUUCAUUGGAACAAAUUCAUGUACAUGCUUGAUUGCAAGUAUUUUUUUCCUAGAUGUGAACAAGAACCCAUGGCUUGCUGUUUCUUUUUUGUAAGAUUGCGUAAUCACGUGUUUGAUUCUAUGCAAAAAACAAAGAAUAUGUGUAAGUUCAAAUACAGCAAUUGCAGA